ensembl:snoRNA small nucleolar RNA, C/D box 61
GCUGUGAUGAAUUUGAAUGCGCUGAUCUUCUGACAUGAUAAUUUUGUCCUCUAAGAAGUUCUGAGCUU